rnacentral:rRNA from 1 species
UGGGGAAUAUUGGGCAAUGGGCGAAAGCCUGACCCAGCAACGCCGCGUGAAGGAAGAAGGUUUUCGGAUCGUAAACUUCUAUCCUUGGUGAAGAUAAUGACGGUAGCCAAGAAGGAAGCCCCGGCUAACUACGUGCCAGCAGCCGCGGUAAUACGUAGGGGGCAAGCGUUGUCCGGAAUGAUUGGGCGUAAAGGGCGCGUAGGCGGCCUGGUAAGUCUGGAGUGAAAGUCCUGCUUUCAAGGUGGGAAUUGCUUUGGAUACUGUCGGGCUUGAGUGCAGGAGAGGUAAGUGGAAUUCCCGGUGUAGCGGUGAAAUGCGUAGAGAUCGGGAGGAACACCAGUGGCGAAGGCGACUUACUGGACUGUAACUGACGCUGAGGCGCGAAAGUGUGGGGAGCAAACAG